rnacentral:lncRNA from 1 species
GGUAAGAGUGUCUGCUUGUCAAAAUACGCUUCAAAGCAGUUUCAAAAUGAGGGACACUUCUUCUCUAAUGGUGUGUUCGCAAACUCCGCAUACACUAGUCGCAAAAUUUUCCCUCGUUCCAGCAAAAAAUAUGUUCGUGUGUGUAUCCAAGAACAAAGCCUGCCGAACAAAACUGCGAUUACUAUCAUGUGUAUCGGAAAGGUCACACACGGAUACCAUUUUACCCCUGCAGGUGACCUUCAGCUUGCCGUGUUUUACGGCAAGUCCCUCUCGGGACCCUCUUUUAAUGUGGUGCGACAGUGGUAAUGAAGCCAACAAUGUGGUAUUUUUGGGCUCUGUUUUACUCGAUUUUCCUUCAUUGACGUGCUGUCUCUUUAAUGUAGCUGAGCAUUCAACACAUAGCGUUUGUGAAGUCUCGCUUGAUGCAUGUUUGCUACGGCUGCGUAACGAAGCGAUAUGUUCCCUCCAAAGUUUCCAUAGUGAUGCUGGAAGUGGGGGGCUCGUAUUUCCGACAAGGGUGCAUACAGCCAUGCCCCCGGUCUACAAUCCAGCGGCAGUCAGUAGUGGCCACACUCUUGGAAGACUCAUUCUCAAGUGUUGACAGGGUCUGGUGCUUUGAGAAUAUUCAGCACCAGAUGGUACUCGAUUUGCUGUCUCCUGUCGCCCCGUGCGUGAUGUUCAGGAUUUGCCUGUAGUUACCUGCUGCCACCUCCGGUCAUACACUGUCUCGGGUGUACACACGCAUGUGUUUAUGUAUACAUAAAUAAACGUUUUCGUAAAUUUUCCCGUUUGCGGUAGCGUAUGUUUUUGCGUGUGUAUCGCCUGUUCUCUGCUCUUGCCCACUGGGGUCGCUAGGUGCACGCCUACAUCUCCUCUGUCUAAGACUACCUGACUCAGUUACGCGUCAGGAUUGAACACCCUUUUAGUUAUUCGUGGAUGUGGUGCCUGCUUUCCCCAAGGGAUUUACGGUGAGUUUUUCAAUCAAUUUAUUCCACCGCAACCUUUGGUGAUGUCUUCAGCACUCCCUUACAGUCGUACAACACAAUCUCAGAAGAUUCGCUAGGACGCUAAAGAUUACUUCAUGGUUGAGAUGCACAUAUUCAACAGAACGUUGCCAACGGGAUCCUGCAAGCUUCGAGGUAACCUAAGGAAACGUUGACGUACUUGCGAGAGACACUCGCCGCAACGGAAAAGUAAAAAUCAAAAAGCAUGCCUCCGUAGGGCUGUAUCCGCUAACCCUUAUGGAUGCGAAUAACAAACGCCACAGGAUCACACAGGUGCCCCGUGCAACCAUACAGUCGAG